CUUGUGCAGAGAGAUCACGCAUCUCACGGCUUGACGAUCAAGGGGGCAAAGCCUCGGUCUUCAUAGAAAAGGAGAGGAGGCAAACGCAGCCCAAACUGGGGGGUUUCUCUUCAAAGCCAGCUGGUCUGGCUUUAUUCUACAGGAAUUUUUUUACCUGUCAGGGUUUGGACAACAAAGCCCUCAGCAGGUGCUGACGGGUACAACUUCCUGGAGAAGCAGAAAGGCACUGAGAAAACAUCUUGCUCUGUUGCUCAGGCUGGAGCGCAAUGGUGCCAUCGUAGCUUACUGUAACCUUGAACGUCUGUGCUCAAGCAAUCUUCCUGCCUCAGCCUCCUGAGUAGCUGGGACUACAGAGACAGGGUCUUGUUCUAUUGUCCAAGCUGGUCUUGAAUUCCUGACCUCAAGCAAUCCUCCUGCCUCUGCCUCCCAAAGCACUGGGAUUAUUACAGAGGUGCUGGUUACGUGGGAAUUUGAUUUGUCAAAACUGAUUGAAUGACACAGAUGAAGUCUCGCUCUGUCGCCCAGGCUGGAGUGCAGUGGCACAAUCUCUGCUCACUGCAAGCUCUGCCUCCUGGGUUCACGCCAUUCUCCUGCCUCAGCCUCCCAAGUAGCUGGGACUACAGGCGCCCACCACCAUGCCCAGCUAAUUUUUUGUAUUUUUUUUUUUUAGUAGAGACGAGGUUUCACUGUGUUAGCCAGGAUGGUCUUGAUCUCCUGACCUUGUGAUCCACCCGCCUCGGCCUCCCAAAGUGCUGGGAUUACAGGCGUGAGCCACCGCACCCGGCUACAAUGGAUAAAUGAUUUCUUAUUGUACUUUUAAUUUGCAUUUCUUUGAUUACUGUGAGGUUGAACCAUUUAAAAAUAAGCAUUGCCUUUUGUGUGAAUUGUGUUUCUUCUUUUGAGGAACAUUCCUCCUGCAUUCUUUGGCUCCCCUCCCCGCCCCAGACAUACAUUAGACUUUCCAAAGACUUGGAAAUUAACACUUCGUGGGUCAUAUUUACAGCAAUUAUUUACUCUGGUAAUUUCCUUUUCAUUUUAAUUGUACUAUUUUCAGGACUUUUAUGUGUUUUCAAAUGAAGAUCUUCUCAUCUGUGAUUGCUUCAAAGCUUGGAAAAUAAUAAUAACAUCAACGAAGUGAAAAUUACCCAAUUUUAUUUUUUCCUUCUAUUAUAUAUUUGUAUUAAGCUCUUUCAUCAACAUGGAAAAAAAUGACAGUAUUUAUGAUAGUCACACACACACACACGGAAUGUGAGAGGGGGAGGGUAUUUGUGAAAAGACCACAAAUUAGAUUGGGCAAAAUGGCUCAUACCUAUAAUCCUAGUACUUUGGGAGGACGAGGAAGGACGAUUUCUGAAAGCCAGGAGUUUGAGACCAGCUUGGGCAACAUAGUGAGACCUCAUCUCUAUAAAAAAUACAAAAAUUAGCUGGACAUGGUGGUGUGUACUUGUAGUCCCAGCUACUUAGGAGGCUGUGGCAGGAGGAUUGCUUGACCUGAGGAGUUCAAGGCUGCAGUGAGCUAUGAUUGCACUGUGUCCAGAAUUGGUGGGUUCUUGGUCUUACUGACUUCAAGAAUGAAGCUGCACACCCUCGAGGUGAGUGUUACAGUUCUUAAAGAUGGUGUGUCCGGAGUUUGUUCCUUCUGAUGUUCAGACGUGGUCAGAGUUUUUUCCUUCUGGUGGGUUCGUGGUCUCACUGGCUUCAGGAGUGAAACUGCAGACCUUCGCCGUGAGUGUUACAGCUCUUAAGGCGGCGCGUCUGGAGUUGUUCAUUCCUCUAGGUGGGUUCGUGGUCUCGCUGACCUCAGGAGUGAAGCUGCAGACCUUCUAGGUGAGUGUUACAGCUCAUAAAGGCAGUGCACACCCAAAGAGCGAGCAGCAGCAAGAUUUAUUGCAACGAGUGAAAAAACAAAACUUCCACAGUGUGGAAGGGGACCCAAGCAGGUUGCUGCUGCUGGCUCCAGCCGCCUGCUUUUAUUCUCUUAUCUGGCCCUCCAAGUCCCCACUAGAUUAGCUAGACACAGAACACUGGUGCAUUUACAAACCUUGAGCUAGACACAGAGUGCUGAUUGGUGUUAUUUACAAUCCUUUAGCUAGAUAUAAAGGUUCUCCAAGUCCCUACCAGAUUAGCCAGAUACAGAGUGCUGAUUGGUGCAUCCACAAACUCCGAGCUAGACACAGAGCACUGAUUGGUGCAUUUACAAUCCUUUAGCUAGACAUAAAGGUUCUCCAAGUCCCCACCUGACUCAGGAGCCCAGCUGGCUUCCCCUAGUGGAUCACACGCCAGGGCCGUGGGAGGAGCUGCCCGCUAGUCCUGUGGUGCUCACCUGCACUCCUCAGCCCUUGGGCGGUCGAUGGGACCGGGCGCAGUGGGCGGCGCCCGUCGAGGAGUCUCGGGCUGCCGAGGAGCCCACCGCGGGGGACUCUGGCAUGGCGGGCUGCAGGUCCCGAGCCCUGCCCGGCCGGGAGGCGGCUGAGGCCCCGCGAGAAUUCCAGCGUGGCGCGGGCGGGCCGGCAGUACUAGGGGACCCUGCGCCCCCUCCGCAGCUGCUGGCCCAGGUGCUAAGCCCCUCACUGCCUGGGGCCAGCGGCGCCUGCUGGCCGCUUUGAGUGCGGAGCCCGCCGAGCCCACGCUCACCCGGAACUCGCGCUGGCCCGCGAGCUCCGCGCGCAGCCCGGUUCCCGCCCGCGCUUCUCCCUGCAAGCAGAGGGAGCCGGCUCCAGCCUCGGCCAGCCCAGAGAGGGGCUCUCACGGUGCAGCGGCGGGCCGAAGGGCUCCUCAAGCGUGGCCAGAGCGGACGCCGCCGUCGAGGAGGCACUGAGAGCGAGCGAGGGCCGCCAGCACGUUGUCACCUCUCAGCGCCACUGUACUCCAGCCCAGAUAACAGAGUGGGUCCGUGUCUCUAAACACACACACACCCCCCUUAGAAACUGAAUAAAUGGAGAGAAAUGCCAUGUUUUUGGUUGGGAAAAUGCAGUCGAAGAAUUGUAAUAUUUCUGGCUGGGUGCAGUGGCUCAUGCCUGUAAUCCCAGCACUUUGGGAGGUCAAGGUGAGUGGAUCACUUAAGGUAAGGAGUUUGAGACCAGCCUGGCCAACAUGGCAAAACCGUGUCUCUACUAAAAAUAGAAAAAUUAGCCGGGCGUGGUGGCAGGCGCCUGUAAUCCCAGCUACUCGGGAGACUGAGGCAGAAGAAUUGCUUGAACCUGGGAGGUGGAGGCAGCAGUGAGCCGAGAUCGCACCACUGCACUCCAGCCUGGGCGACA
rnacentral:lncRNA from 1 species